GACGAACGCUGGCGGCGUGCCUAAUACAUGCAAGUAGAACGCUGAAGAGAGGAGCUUGCUCUUCUUGGAAGAGUUGCGAACGGGUGAGUAACGCGUAGGUAACCUGCCUUGUAGCGGGGGAUAACUAUUGGAAACGAUAGCUAAUACCGCAUAACAAUGGAUGACACAUGUCAUAUAUUUGAAAGGGGCAACUGCUCCACUACACGAUGGAACUGCGUUGUAUUAGCUAGUAGGUGAGGUAACGGCUCGCCUAGGCGACGAUACAUAGCCGACCUGAGAGGGUGAUCGGCCACACUGGGACUGAGACACGGCCCAGACUCCUACGGGAGGCAGCAGUGGGGAAUCUUCGGCAAUGGGGGCAACCCUGACCGAGCAACGCCGCGUGAGUGAAGAAGGUUUUCGGAUCGUAAAGCUCUGUUGUAAGUCAAGAACGAGUGUGAGAGUGGAAAGUUCACACUGUGACGGUAGCUUACCAGAAAGGGACGGCUAACUACGUGCCAGCAGCCGCCGCAG
rnacentral:rRNA from 1 species